rnacentral:rRNA from 1 species
AUACGGAGGGUGCAAGCGUUAUCCGGAUUUAUUGGGUUUAAAGGGUGCGCAGGCGGCGAUGUAAGUCAGUGGUGAAAGGCUGCCGCUUAACGGUAGGACUGCCAUUGAUACUGCAUUGCUUGAGUAUGGUUGAGGUAAGCGGAAUGUGUGGUGUAGCGGUGAAAUGCAUAGAUAUCACACAGAACACCGAUUGCGAAGGCAGCUUACUAAGCCAUUACUGACGCUGAGGCACGAAAGCGUGGGUAGCGAACAGGAUUAGAAACCCCAGUAGUCU